UCUCUGAACUAACUGAUUCUGCCUCGACCCUGGUGGCUGUGUCUACCUCAGCUCCACGGUCACAACAGAGGCCGGCGAGGAGAAGACAUGCUCGGCCCAUGGCUCCACCAGCAAGGGCUACGUGAAUGACCCCAUGGAGUUCCAUGGAGAAUUCUAGCGACCCAAAACUUGGUGUA